GUUUUUAUAAUUUAAAACAAAAUACUGGUCUUGUAAACCAGAAAUGGGUUUUCCCUAAAAACA
rnacentral:tRNA from 1 species